AUAGUCCUGUAUGUUAAACGAGAAGACUUCAGAUAUGAUCCAGAGUACCACGGGACACGUGAAACCCUGUGGGAAGCAGGAGGGACCACCCUCCAAGGCUAAAUACUACCUAGUGACCGAUAGCGUAUAGUACCGUGAGGGAAAGGUGAAAAGAACCCCGGGAGGGGAGUGAAAUAGAACCUGAAACCCUGCACUUACAAGCUGUGGAAGCACAUUUCUUGUGUGACCGCGUACUUUUUGUAGAACGGGCCAACGAGUUACGUUAAGUAGCAAGGUUAAGCACUUAAGGUGCGGAGCCGUAGCGAAAGCGAGUUUUAACUGAGCGUUCAGUUACUUGACGUAGACCCGAAACCGGGCGACCUACCCAUGAGCAGGAUGAAGCGAAAGUAAAAUUUCGUGGAGGUCCGAACCCACGAGCGUUGAAAAGCUCGGGGAUGACUUGUGGGUAGCGGUGAAAUUCCAAUCGAGCCCGGAGAUAGCUGGUUCUCCCCGAAAUAGCUUUAGGGCUAGCCUCAAGGUGAGAGAUACGGAGGUAGAGCACUGAAUGUCCUAGGGGGUAUUGCACCUACCGAAGACUAUCAAACUCCGAAUGCCGUCAUCUUAUACUUGGGAGUCAGACUGUGGGUGAUAAGAUUCAUAGUCGAAAGGGCAACAGCCCAGAUCGUCAGCUAAGGUCCCUAAAUGUAAGUUAAGUGGUAAAGGAUGUGGGAUUGCACAGACAACCAGGAUGUUGGCUUAGAAGCAGCCACUCAUUCAAAGAGUGCGUAAUAGCUCACUGGUCGAGUGAUCCUGCGCCGAAGAUUUCCGGGGCUAAAACUUACUACCGAAGCUACGGCAUCAGUAAUGAUGGGUAGGGGAGCUUCCCAUACGGGUUGAAGCAUGACCGUAAGGACAUGUGGACAGUAUGGGAGUGAGAAUGUUGGCAUGAGUAGCGAGAUGUGGGUGAGAAUCCCACAGGCCGUAAACCCAAGGUUUCCAGGGGAAGGUUCGUCCGCCCUGGGUUAGUCGGGACCUAAGCUGAGGCCGAAAGGCGUAGGUGAUGGACAACAGGUUGAUAUUCCUGUAC
rnacentral:rRNA from 1 species